rnacentral:rRNA from 1 species
GACGAACGCUGGGGGCGUGCUUAACACAUGCAAGUCGAACGGAAAGGCCUCUUUCGGGGGGUACUCGAGUGGCGAACGGGUGAGUAACACGUGAGUAACCUGCCCUUGACUUUGGGAUAACUUCAGGAAACUGGGGCUAAUACCGGAUAGGAGCUCCUGCUGCAUGGUGGGGGUUGGAAAGUUUCGGCGGUUGGGGAUGGACUCGCGGCUUAUCAGCUUGUUGGUGGGGUAGUGGCUUACCAAGGCUUUGACGGGUAGCCGGCCUGAGAGGGUGACCGGCCACAUUGGGACUGAGAUACGGCCCAGACUCCUACGGGAGGCAGCAGUGGGGAAUAUUGCACAAGGGGUGGAAGCCUGAUGCAGCAACGCCGUGUGCGGGAUGACGGCCUUCGGGUUGUAAACCGCUUUCGCUCAUGACGAAGCUUUGUGUGACGGUAGUGGGUAAAGAAGCACCGGCUAACUACGUG